rnacentral:lncRNA from 1 species
UUCCACAUGCCAGACCGUACAUAUUAAAGGUCACUGGCUUCAACGCCAUCCUGGAUGUUACCAAGUCCCCUGUAAGAAAUUAAGCCUCCCCCUAAUCUGAUUCCAUCUAUACCCAAGUAUAUUCAUCGAAAAUUCGUCGCACUUUCCUUUACUUCUAUCUUUUCCAUUCACACAGCUCUUCUACCUUCUUUAUCUAGCUCUGAUUUGACUGGGAGAAGUUAUCUUUCUUUUGGUACAACAGCUUAUUCAACAACCCACCGUCACGCCAAUGUCAGGUCCUAUUCCAUGAGUAGUUGUAAAAGUUUUCUUAAAGAACUACUUAGUAUGAGUAACUUUCAGAAACGGCUCCAAACCCAAGUCACAAAGAUUACUAGACUAUAUAUUGUUGAAGUCUUGCAUCAUAAUUUCAUGGCCAGAAUAAAAAGUUAUAACCAUAGGC